GGGAUAGAAUUCCAGGAGUAGCGGUGAAAUGCGUAGAUAUCUGGAGGAAUACCAAAGGCGAAGGCAGUCCCCUGGUCCGAUACUGACACUGAGGUACGAAAGCGUGGGGAGCAAACAGGAUUAGAUACCCUGGUAGUCCACGCCCUAAACGAUGUCGAUUAGCCAUUGGAAGGACCCCUUUUCCUUUCAGUGACGUAGCUAACGCGUUAAAUCGACCGCCUGGGAAGUACGACCGCAAGGUUAAAACUCAAAGGAAUUGACGGGGACCUGAACAAGCGGUGAAUGAUGUGGAUUAAUUCGAUGCUACGCGAAGAACCUUACCUACCUUUGACAUGGCCAAAGUUCUACCGAGAGGCGGAAGUACUCGUAAGAGGAUUGGCGCACAGGUGCUGCAUGGUUGUCGUCAGUUCGUGUCGUGAGAUGUUGGGUUCAGUCCCGCAACGAACGCAACCCUUAUCUUUAAUUGCUCCUAUUUUAACAGGCACUUUAAAGAAACUGCCAAUGAUAAGUUGGAGGAAGGUGGGGAUCACGUCAAGUCCGCAUGGCCUUUAUAGGUAGGGCUUCACACGUCAUACAAUGGUUAGAACAAAGAGCUGCAAAUUCGUAAGGAGGAGCCAAUCUCACAAACCUAACCUCAGUUCGAAUUGCGGUCUGCAACUCGAGCGCAUGAAGCCGGAAUCGCUAGUAAUCGUGGAUCAGAAUGCCACGGUGAAUACGUUCUUAGGUCUU
rnacentral:rRNA from 1 species